rnacentral:rRNA from 1 species
CGGAACCCUUUUGAACCCUUUGGGGGGAAGGACGGUGGAAUGAGCGGCGGACGGGUGAGUAACACGUAAAGAACCUGCCCAUAGGUCUGGGAUAACCACGAGAAAUCGGGGCUAAUACCGGAUGUGUCAUCGGACCGCAUGGUCCGCUGAUGAAAGGCGCUUCGGCGUCGCCCAUGGAUGGCUUUGCGGUGCAUUAGCUAGUUGGUGGGGUAAUGGCCCACCAAGGCGACGAUGCAUAGCCGACCUGAGAGGGUGAUCGGCCACACUGGGACUGAGACACGGCCCAGACUCCUACGGGAGGCAGCAGUAGGGAAUCUUCCACAAUGGACGAAAGUCUGAUGGAGCAACGCCGCGUGAACGAUGAAGGCUUUUGGGUCGUAAAGUUCUGUUGUAAGGGAAGAACAAGUGCCGCAGGCAAUG